UCUUUGAGCCUGCUGGUUUUAGCCCGGAGACUCUGCAGUCUCCUCCCUGAUGGCAGCAGGCUGAAAAGACUGUGAGUUGGGUGGGUGGGAUCUCAAGGGUGGGUG